AGGGUUAACGUUAUAAUUUUGGAGAAAAAUCUCAAGAUUUUCAACCUUUUGAGGAAAAUGUACGGAGUAUUUUUUUUUAUCGAGACCGACCUAAAAUAUAAACCGUACGGAAAAAUGAGAAAAUAGGUGUGUAUGAGCUGUCCAAAAACAGAAAAAUAAUUAAAUAAAUAAUAAAACGCGUGUAAAUAAUGACGGUUACUGUAUAAAUAUAAACCUCCAUCAAAUUCACUGCAUUAUUCCGCGUAACUACAUCCACCGCCAUAAAAACCCUAAUUCUUCAACUUUCUUUCCCUUCGUAAUCUAACCCAGAUUUCGAUCAAAACCCUAAAAAUAUUAUGUUCGUCUACUUCUUCCGAGGAAGAAUUAUUACAUGAAAGGAUAUUUGUAGGAUUUUGAUCGAUAUUUCUAGGGUUUAUGAAAAAUUAGUUUCUUCAACUGUUCGAUAUCGGAACUGUUUUCUUGGGUCGUUGAUGAAGAACACGAAGAAGAAGUACAGUACAAGUACAAGAGGUUGACGCCAAUGUUGGUGCACCACAAUUUAACUACCAUGAAAGUAGUUCUAAAGUUGUUGAAAUCAAGUAUCUUGACAAGAAACAGUCAGGUGGAAGUGGAUAUGAGUUUGUCAGUGAAAUAAAGGGAGGAUUGGAAGAGUGUAUGAGCAAUGGUGUACAGUAUACAUUGCAGGAUUUCCUGUGGUUGAUGUGCAUGCCGCAUUAGUGGAUGGUUCAUACCAUGAUGUUGACUCGAGUGUCUUGGCAUUCCAGCUGGCAGCCAGAGGAGCUUUCCGCGAGGGGACGAGGAUGGCCGGUCCAAAGAUGUUGGAACCAAUAAUGAGGGUCGAAGUAGUUACACCUGAAGAACACUUGGGUGAUGUCAUCGGUGACCUCAACUAGUGAGACCGAGUGCGGAGUGCCCCAAGUUAUGAUAAGUGAAGCAAUCUUGCCAAGGCUUUCAUACCGUGAAAUUGUCGGCAAGUGUUCACCUCAAGCAUGACUAUUGGAAGCAAUGUGCAAAAAUCAAAUGGUUCUUCCGAGCUGAUCAAGGUACGUCCUUUAUCUUUAGAUCAGCAAAAACUCGUAAGUGUAGAAAUGAGAUCAGAUGCAUUCAAGGUAGUAAUGGAUCUUGGAUCAUGGAUAAUGAAGAAAUAAAACGAGAAUUGCUGGUCUAUUGUAAAAAUUUAUUCAACCCAUCACAACAACAAGAAGGGGUAGGCAAUUGGAUGUCCCACAUGCCAAAGCUCACUGAAAAAAUUUAUCCCACUUGAAUUAACCUUUUUCAGACAGAGAAAUAAAAGAGGCACUUUUUAGUAUGGGACCGAAUAAAUCACCGGGGUCAUGGUAUUCCUCCGAUAUUUUUUCAAAAAAUUUGGGAGCUGAUAAAGCAUGAUGUGAUAUUAGCGGUUCGGUCUUUCGAUAAUAGUGGCCAUCUACUUAAGGAAAUGAAUAAAACGUAUAGUACUGUAAUCCCGAAAGUGGAAAGGCUUACCUCAGUGACUCAAUUCCGGCCUAUAAGCUUAUGCAACACUUCAUACAAGAUUAUCUCCAAGUGCGUUGUUCGAAGACUGAAACUUAUCAUCUGUGAAAUUGUGGGGGAAUUCCAAAAUGCAUUCGUACCUGGGAGAUCAACGACUGAUAAUUGUCUUAUAGCCGUUGAGCUCAUCACACAUUUGAAGAAAAGAAAAGGGAGAAAGAUCCAAGCUGCAGUUAAAGUAGACUUAAAUAAAGCCUAUGACAGAAUAAGAUGGGAGUUUGUUUUAACAGUGUUGAAGGCUAUUGGGUUUAGGGAGAAAACCGGAUUUGAGAACAAUUAACUACUUCACCAACAACUACUGAAUAUUGGAUACAAUGGAUACACCAGUGCACGUCUACAGUAACUUCUUAUUCAAUUCUGGUAAAUGGAGAGCCGUCACAGUUCUUUUCACCAACAGCAGGGCUACGUCAAGGAGAUCCUAUCUCCCCAUAUAUCUUCAUAUUAUGUUUGGAAGUUUUAUCAAGAACUUUAAUCAAGAAGCAACAGAAUCGACUCAUCAGAGGCAUCAAAAUUUCCCCUACAGCGCCAGAAAUCAAUCACAUAUUCUUUGCAGAUUAUGCACUUUCAAGCCUCCAUGGACAACUUUGCGAACCUAAAGAGCACUAUUGAUGUAUUCUGUUCAAUUUCAGGCGAAAUGGUCAGUCUUCCUAAAUCAUUUAUCAUGUUCAGUGCUAACUCUCAUCCCAAGUUUUGCAGGAUAGUGAGGAAGAAAUUAGGCAUGAAAGAUCAAAAAGAAUUUGGGUCGUAUUUGGGGUGUCCAAUGCAGGUCAGUCUACGUACUACGAAAUGCUUCAAAGAUGUAGUCCAGAAAAUCAGUUCCAGAAUCACCUCUUGGAAGUACAUGAAGCUAAAUCAAAUGGGAAAGUUAUUACCCAUCAACAACAUUCUGGUGGCUUUAGCUUCUCACAUUAUUAUCAAUUUACCUCAUGCCCAAAUAUAUCAUCAAGCAAAUAUCUUCUCUCCUGUUGAAAUUUUUGUGGUCCUCGAAAAAAGGCCAAUUUAUUCGAAGAAAACUGCUCUUCUGGAAAUGCACAAACAGGAAGUUGGACUUUCUUUCAGAAACAUUGAAUUGCUCAACAAAGCUUUUGGUGUUCAGGCAUGCUUGGCGUUUACAUUCUCACCCGAAUAUCUUGGUAAGCAGGAUUUUUAAUGCCAAAUAUAAGCAAGACUGGUUGAGUAGAAGGUUUCAGGAUUAUGGCUCGGUCCAUCACGACCUAAUGGGCAGAAUCUUCAAGGUAUGGCUGAAAUUGAAGCCAACAAAACAUUACCUUUUUGAACUAAAGCUAUUUCCACCGAAAAAUUUUGAAUUUCUAAAAGUUCUUGAUCAAAGUAUAAAUAGUAGGAGUAAGAAAUUUGUCAAAAAAAUAUUUCUAAAAAUAAUGAAAUGAAAUUAUUUUAUUUUAGGGUUAUUCUGCGUGAAAGUGGUUCACAAUAAUAUUAUUAUGGACAUAAAACAUUGCUUUAGCAUCUCUUUUACAUAACCUUUAUUGUUUACCUAGUGACUAUAAUUAAUAAGUUGUGCACCAAUAAGUAAACACUUUAUGAAUCAAAGUAACCCAAUGUUUUCAAAAAAGAAUCGUGACCUAAAACGAUACAACGUAUUAUUUAAGCACAACACGUAAUAUAAUAAAGACCCCCCUUUGAUAUUUUUGUAAUAGUUUUAAUAAACACGUCAAAAUGUGUUAAGAUCAAGUUGUUGAUUUUUUAGACAUGAUCCAAAAAAAUUUAGUGUGGAAUAAGUUCAUUUAGACCCUAUUCUGUUCGAUUUCUUUUGACUUAUUUCAGACAAAAUAAGUUCAUAUACGUUCAGAUAAUAUAAAUUCAGUUAAAAUAAGUCCAAUAGAACGAAGCCAUAUAGUGACUUUAAUAAAUUAAACACCAUUUUUUUUAGAUAUAGUAACAUUUUGAAUCAAAAUAACCCUAUAUUUUUAAAAGAGAAUCGUGUCUUAAAAUUUCAUUUUCAGGCACAAUAUGUACUAACAACACCAGUUUAAUACUUUUUUCACAAUAAUUCUAUUAAAUACGUCAAAAUAAAUUAAAAUCAGUUGUUAACUUGUUUUGUAAGUAUGAUCCAUAAUAAAUUUAAAGUAGACUAGAUCCAUUUAAGAAUUAUUGUUAAAAAUUAGGGUUAACAUUAAAAUUUUGGAGAAAAAUCUCAAGAUUUUCAACCUUUGAGGAAAAUGUACGGAGUAUUUUUUUUUAUCGAGACCGACCUAAAAUAUAAACCGUACGGAAAAAUGAGAAAAUAGGUGUGUAUGAGCUGUCCAAAAACAGAAAAAUAAUUAAAUAAAUAAUAAAACGCGUGUAAAUAAUGACGGUUACUGUAUAAAUAUAAACCUCCAUCAAAUUCACUGCAUUAUUCCGCGUAACUACAUCCACCGCCAUAAAAACCCUAAUUCUUCAACUUUCUUUCCCUUCUCAAUCUUCGUAAUCUAACCCAGAUUUCGAUCAAAACCCUAAAAAUAUUAUGUUCGUCUAAUUCUUCCGAGGAAGAAUUAUUACAUGAAAGGAUAUUUGUAGGAUUUUGAUCGAAAUUUCUAGGGUUUAUGGAAAAUUAGUUUCUGCAACUGUUCGAUAUCGGAACUGUUUUCUUGGGUCGUUGAUGAAGAACACGAAGAAGAAGUACAGUACAAGUACAAGAGGUUGACGCCAAUGUUGGUGCACCACAAUUUAACUACCAUGAAAGUAGUUCUAAAGUUGUUGAAAUCAAGUAUCUUGACAAGAAACAGUCAGGUGGAAGUGGAUAUGAGUUUGUCAGUGAAAUAAAGGGAGGAUUGGAAGAGUGUAUGAGCAAUGGUGUACAGUAUACAUUGCAGGAUUUCCUGUGGUUGAUGUGCAUGCCGCAUUAGUGGAUGGUUCAUACCAUGAUGUUGACUCGAGUGUCUUGGCAUUCCAGCUGGCAGCCAGAGGAGCUUUCCGCGAGGGGACGAGGAAGGCCGGUCCAAAGAUGUUGGAACCAAUAAUGAGGGUCGAAGUAGUUACACCUGAAGAACACUUGGGUGAUGUCAUCGGUGACCUCAACUAGUGAGACCGAGUGCGGAGUGCCCCAAGUUAUGAUAAGUGAAGCAAUCUUGCCAAGGCUUUCGUACCGUGAAAUUGUCGGCAAGUGUUCACCUCAAGCAUGACUAUUGGAAGCAAUGUGCAAAAAUCAAAUGGUUCUUCCGAGCUGAUCAAGGUACGUCCUUUAUCUUUAGAUCAGCAAAAACUCGUAAGUGUAGAAAUGAGAUCAGAUGCAUUCAAGGUAGUAAUGGAUCUUGGAUCAUGGAUAAUGAAGAAAUAAAACGAGAAUUGCUGGUCUAUUGUAAAAAUUUAUUCAACCCAUCACAACAACAAGAAGGGGUAGGCAAUUGGAUGUCCCACAUGCCAAAGCUCACUGAAAAAAUUUAUCCCACUUGAAUUAACCUUUUUCAGACAGAGAAAUAAAAGAGGCACUUUUUAGUAUGGGACCGAAUAAAUCACCGGGGUCAUGGUAUUCCUCCGAUAUUUUUUCAAAAAAUUUGGGAGCUGAUAAAGCAUGAUGUGAUAUUAGCGGUUCGGUCUUUCGAUAAUAGUGGCCAUCUACUUAAGGAAAUGAAUAAAACGUAUAGUACUGUAAUCCCGAAAGUGGAAAGGCUUACCUCAGUGACUCAAUUCCGGCCUAUAAGCUUAUGCAACACUUCAUACAAGAUUAUCUCCAAGUGCGUUGUUCGAAGACUGAAACUUAUCAUCUGUGAAAUUGUGGGGGAAUUCCAAAAUGCAUUCGUACCUGGGAGAUCAACGACUGAUAAUUGUCUUAUAGCCGUUGAGCUCAUCACACAUUUGAAGAAAAGGAAAGGGAGAAAGAUCCAAGCUGCAGUUAAAGUAGACUUAAAUAAAGCCUAUGACAGAAUAAGAUGGGAGUUUGUUUUAACAGUGUUGAAGGCUAUUGGGUUUAGGGAGAAAACCGGAUUUGAGAACAAUUAACUACUUCACCAACAACUACUGAAUAUUGGAUACAAUGGAUACACCAGUGCAUGUCUACAGUAACUUCUUAUUCAAUUCUGGUAAAUGGAGAGCCGUCACAGUUCUUUUCACCAACAGCAGGGCUACGUCAAGGAGAUCCUAUCUCCCCAUAUAUCUUCAUAUUAUGUAUGGAAGUUUUAUCAAGAACUUUAAUCAAGAAGCAACAGAAUCGACUCAUCAGAGGCAUCAAAAUUUCCCCUACAGCGCCAGAAAUCAAUCACAUAUUCUUUGCAGAUUAUGCACUUUCAAGCCUCCAUGGACAACUUUGCGAACCUAAAGAGCACUAUUGAUGUAUUCUGUUCAAUUUCAGGCGAAAUGGUCAGUCUUCCUAAAUCAUUUAUCAUGUUCAGUGCUAACUCUCAUCCCAAGUUUUGCAGGAUAGUGAGGAAGAAAUUAGGCAUGAAAGAUCAAAAAGAAUUUGGGUCGUAUUUGGGGUGUCCAAUGCAGGUCAGUGGACGUACUACGAAAUGCUUCAAAGAUGUAGUCCAGAAAAAUGCUUCAAAGAUGUAGUCCAGAAAAUCAGUUCCAGAAUCACCUCUUGGAAGUACAUGAAGCUAAAUCAAAUGGGAAAGUUAUUACCCAUCAACAACAUUCUGGUGGCUUUAGCUUCUCACAUUAUUAUCAAUUUACCUCAUGCCCAAAUAUAUCAUCAAGCAAAUAUCUUCUCUCCUGUUGAAAUUUUUGUGGUCCUCGAAAAAAGGCCAAUUUAUUCGAAGAAAACUGCUCUUCUGGAAAUGCACAAACAGGAAGUUGGACUUUCUUUCAGAAACAUUGAAUUGCUCAACAAAGCUUUUGGUGUUCAGGCAUGCUUGGCGUUUACAUUCUCACCCGAAUAUCUUGGUAAGCAGGAUUUUUAAUGCCAAAUAUAAGCAAGACUGGUUGAGUAGAAGUCUCAAUAAUCAAAAAAGAAAUCAGGCUUCAUGGGCAGCUAGAGGUAUAUUCAAGACUACUUAUGAUAUGAGAAAUGCAUUAAAGAGAAGAAUAGGAAAUGAUACCACUGCAGAAGAAUCCUUGCUUAUCAUACUCCACAAAGUAAUGAUGAAGAUUCCUGGAUUUGGAGUGGAAACAAUGCCAAAGGGUACACUGAAAAAUGGGUACUGGUUUCUCAGAAGCCCCAACACAACAAUUCAGAAGAGUAAGUUCUGGAGAAAUAUCUGGAAACAACAAAUGUGGCCAAAAUGGAAAUUAUUCUUAUGGAAACUCCUGAAUAAUGCUCUUCCCACAGGAUUAAAUAUGAUUAAGAGGAAUCUUCAAGUUAAAGGUACUUGUGUGUUUGGGUGUGAAGAAAUUGAGAGCACAGAUAACUUUAUUCAGAGAUUGCAUCAUGGCUGCUACUCAUAUUUGGAAAGCUUCUUUUCUGGGAAUUCAGGUUCAACCUCACUCACCAAUCAUUUACAGAUUGGAUUAAAAAUUUCCUAGCUUUACUGAUGAAAGAAGAUAAAGGUGAGAGUUUAAGAGUAGUAUAUUUUAUCUCUACUCUGUGGGCUAUCUGGUUAGGCUGAAAUAAUGCUAUUUAGUGAAGAUUAAACAGGAGUGGAUGGAGAGAUGGAGGUAUUCUUGGAGUAACCAUAUGACAACUGAGCCAUAAUCUACGUAUUGGAUUUGUGGUUUAUUUUAUUUGCAGUCUAAUUGUUGAGGGCUAGUAAUACUAGUGUGGAAGCUCAUGUUUAGAAAAGAAGAGCAUCUAAUGUUGACUGCAGCUCUGUUUUUUGUGUGUCUUGAAUCGCAUCCCUUAAGGAUGAUGAUUGACCGUAGUUCUUACGCCAUAUCUCUUCUUGUUGAGAUGGUAAGAUUCAACGAACUACUAAGGCUAUAUUUGGUUCAAUUGUCCUACAAAGUAUGUAGCAUUGGAGUAUAUGCAUAAUUUGUUUACAAGUUUUGGACUAUCUCUGUACAAGUUUAAUUGGUGUGUAACAGGUAAUAUCUGGGAUAUCAUUGUUUCCUGCAAUCUGUUUAGCAGUACCAUAUGGUUAUGUGCAGAUACUUCUGCAAUGGUAGUACUGAUCAUGGAUGCAUAUCAUCACAGCAGGAACCGUGCCGUGGGAUUUAAGAGAAUUGCUUAAAAUUUGUCAUCAUCAGUUCAAUUGCAUUAUUUGCUUCCCAACUCUUUUUCUUUGCGGUUUUGGGUGAUGUUCAAAAGAUGCAGAGAUUGAAUGGGCAGCCACAGCCUCAGCCACAGCCACAGCCACAGCCACAGCCACAGCCUCAGCCUCAGCGCUGAUGAUACUUUUAGGAAGGAUUCGUAGUACAGAUGAUACUUUUAGGAAGGAUUCGUAGUACAGAAUUUAUGUUUCUAUUAUUAUUCUGAAAAAUUGUACUACUUUGUAUAGAUUCAAACUUAUUAUCCGAUGUUAUUGAUGUUAUCAGUUUGCCAAAUGCAUA